ACCAGAAUGGCCAAGGGGUUAAGCUGUUGGACUUAAGAUCCAAUGGGCAAAAUGCUCACGUGGGUUCAAUCCCCACUUCUGGUA